rnacentral:rRNA from 1 species
UACGUAGGGACCAAGCGUUGUCCGGAAUCAUUGGGCGUAAAGCGCGCGUAGGUGGCCAUUUAAGUCCGCUGUGAAAGUCAAAGGCUCAACCUUUGAAAGCCGGUGGAUACUGGAUGGCUAGAGUACGGAAGAGGCGAGUGGAAUUCCUGGUGUAGCGGUGGAAUGCGCAGAUAUCAGGAGGAACACCAAUAGCGAAGGCAGCUCGCUGGGACGUUACUGACACUGAGGCGCGAAAAGCGUGGGGAGCGAACAGG